GCACGCUUAACACAUGCAAGUCGAACGAGAAAUUUAUUUCUAGUGGCGAAAGGGUGAGUAACACGUGGGAAUCUGCCCAGUAGUGGGGAAUAACUGAUGGAAACAUUAGCUAAUACCGCAUAUCCUAGAGAUAGGAAAGGUCGCAAGACCGCUAUUGGAUGAGCCUGCGGCUGAUUAGCUUGUUGGUCAGGUAAAGGCUCACCAAGGCUGCGAUCAGUAGCUGAUCUGAGAGGAUGGUC
rnacentral:rRNA from 1 species